AGUUUUGUGCAGUGGCAGUAUCGUAGCCAAUGAGGUUUCUCCGAGGCACGCUUAUUGCUAAUUAAAUUACACUUGCAGAUUUUAAUAAUUCCACCAGUGAGUACUUUCUACUUUACUAUGGAAAUAAUUUCCAGGUUUUUAUUGAC
ensembl:snRNA U4 U4 spliceosomal RNA